GUCCAGACUCCUACGGGAGGCAGCAGUGGGGGAUAUUGCACAAUGGGGGGAACCCUGAUGCAGCGACGCCGCGUGGGUGAAGGAGCGUUUCGGCGCGUAAAGCCCUAUCGGCAGGGAAGAAGGAGGACGGUACCUGACUAAGAAGCCCCGACUAACUACGUGCCAGCAGCCGCGGGAAUACGUAGGGGGCAAGCGUUAUCCGGAUUUACUGGGUGUAAAGGGGGCGCAGACGGCAGCGCAAGCCAGGAGUGAAAGCCCGGGGCCCAACCCCGGGACUGCAUUGGAAACUGCGAGGCUGGAGUGUCGGAGAGGCAGGCGGAAUUCCUAGUGUAGCGGUGAAAUGCGUAGAUAUUAGGAGGAACACCAGUGGCGAAGGCGGCCUGCUGGACGAUGACUGACGCUGAGGCUCGAAAGCGUGGGGAGCAAACAGGAUUAGAUACCCUAGUA
rnacentral:rRNA from 1 species